CUCUUUCAACAUUUUCUUCAGGAGACAGAACCUCCACAACAGGGAGCUGAGGACCAAGAAAUGUCAGGGUUUAAUUUGGUCUCUGAUACUCAAUCACUGCAUGCCCUCAGGCAAGUGACUUAUCUUUUCUCUAUCUAAAUGUCUACAUCAGUGAAACAGAGGCAAAAGUACUUUCCACAUAAGAGUGUCAGUGAGUUUAGCAUAACUCAUUAAUGCCUGCUUGGAGCUUUAAAUCCUGCAGCAGAACAUCCUUUGCAAACAGUGGUGGUUCAUGCACUGCAGGGGUGACAGGCAGUAGAAACUGAAGCCCAGAGCCCCAGUUCUGUGCUCAUUGACUGCUGUGGGCAUUCAGCUGCUGUGUACGUGUGGUGUCCAGUGUGGGUCCCCACCGCUGUGAUCAGAGGAUGCUCCCACCGGGUGAGGCUGUGGCUGGGAGGGUGCCAGCAAUGUCUCACUGAGAAACAAACAACCAAUGAAUCAGCCCUGAUUGCUGCAUUCAGCUAAUGAAAAUGCAUGUAAUUGAUAUUUUAUAACUAUAUAGAGAAAGGAUUUUUUUUUAGGUCUUUAAUGGUAUCGAUUGACGGAAGAAAGCCAGAUAGAUAUCUCUAAGCUGCAGAGCUAUAGGGCUAAAGUGCCUUUGAGUCAGGAAAUGUAUACUUGUUUAAAAUUCACUUCAAAUUUUCACAUCAUUUGCAGCUUUUAAUGGCAUUUUUGGACCCUGACAAUUAAUCAUGUAGCCACUGGAGUCAACUGAUAGUCUCAUUUCUGAUCAAUUAUUGCUGUCAGCCUCCCUCCCCCAUAUUCUGCAUGCUGACGGGGACCAGGGUCUGAAAGAGGAUAACUGCCAGAGGGCCCUGGGAUGGGCUGCAGAAUGCUCUCUUCGAGGUGUUCCCUGAUUUAGUACAUUGGUCUUAUUCUUUAGUCAGGUUCCUUGCAGUUCAUUCCAUGUGACACUGUUUGGAGCAGCCCAGUGGAGGGCAAAUUGCUGUUUUAAAACCUAUGCAGAUACUGGUGUUUUGUGUUUGCCCUUUAUGGAAAAGACUGUCUUUUUUUUUUCAGCUCUUGCACAGUCCAUGAACUUUUUGUAACCGAUGUGAUUAGGAACUUUACAUCUCUAAUCCCUGUCGCUCCAUUGGCAGCAGGAGAGGUAGCUGGAACACAAGGAAUGCAAUCACAUGGGCUGCUCCUUUGGCCAUGGCAUCACUCAGUGGGCAAAGCAUCAUGUAGAAGAAAGGAGUUAAUUCUUCCCUAUGAAACAGGAAGAUUAAAGAGCUGGAGAUCUGCACUGACAGCCUGCUACUGAGGAAAGAAAAGGAGAACCUGCGCUCUCUGUGCAGGCAACUCCAGCACGCAAUAUGCAUCCAGAUGAGACUGAGUGAAAAGAAGACAAGAAAAUGAGCUCAGUGCAGCAAAGGCUGGUUAGAAAGCUAGUCAGAAGGGUCCUUAAGACAAAGGGUUUCUGUUGACUUUAAUGGGGUUUGGAUAGCCUGACAGUGUUGGCUUAUGUUUGAGCAUCCAGACAUCGGGUUUGGUUGUUGUAAAUAAGAUUCUCUCUCUGCUGCAGGGUGGGAAACUGGAGCCAUGCUUCCAGCAGUGAGGAGUGGAGCCAGCACCACUCCGGAGGUCCACUUUGCAAUCUGUGCAGUGCAUGAACACAAGGCUGCAAGUUAGCUUGUGUUGUUUUCCCUUCCUUUCUUUCUUUGUUUCCCUUUCUCUCUUUCUCUCCUUCUCUCUUUCUUAGGAUUUCAGUUGUUGCUCAUUCUGAGUUACUUUAAAAGUGAUCUUGAUGUCCUUCCUGUUUUCUCAUUUUCACUCUCACUCACUGGAGCAACACAUGAGAGAUUCGCCAUUAAGCAAAAGAAGAAAAUAAAAAGAAUAAAUGACAGGAAGUAAAAGGAAGAACGGUGCACAAUUCCUGAUUUACUUCCUUAUGCACUCCCUCCCCCCCACCUCUUGCAUAUGCACACUGAAGGGACCAAACUACGAACCCAAUGUGAGAUUUCAUUUUCAAUUCUUAAUGAAACAGUUGCAGUGAGAGAGAAGAGGAACAGGCUGGGCGUGGGAGGAAAAUGCGGAGUCAUUCUUUCUCUUUCUGUGGUCAAUGUGUCAUAUCUUCAUCAUGGCUGCACUUGGGGCACUUUGCUGCAGAAAGAUGAAAAAAAAUCUGGUUUGAGUGCUGUUGGUAAAACUGUACUGUCACCACAUGUGAAACUGUCCCACAGAUAUCAGGUCUUGGAGGACUGCCCUAACAGCAAAGCUGCAAAAGGGUUACUCUCGUCUUCUCCUCUCCAACUAUUUAUCUUUCCACUUCCUCUAAUUUUUAUUCCUCUUACUUCAUUUGCAGGAGCUGUCUUAGACAAUUCAAUAUUACAGAACAGCAUUUAUGGAGAUUGAAAGUUGUGGUAAUUAAUCAUCUUUGGGUGAAAUUCUAACCCGAUGCAGUCAGUAGUAAAACCCAAGUAGCUUCAGUAUUUCAGCCCACGGCAUCUUAAUGCCAUGGCUUAUUUGUAAUUUGGAUGUCUUUUGAAGCUUUGAAUACAUUAAGGGAAAAUAGUGGGUUUGUGUGUUUGGUCAUUAGGAAGGAAUAAACAGUGACUGCAAAUUAAAAAAUUUCUGUGGAUAGUUAAAGGGUUUCAUAUUUAUUUAACCUCUGGAGAUCUCAAGCCCCAAUCAGUUGUUCGAAGUUUCUGUGACUGCUCUGCAAGCAGUUGAUGCUGCAGGGACAGAGCUAUGCUCCUGGCUCUCAGUAGUCACAGUUUAGCUCGUAAGUGCGCCAAUGACGCAUGAGACACGAACCAGAGUUCUCCUAAGAAUCACUGCUUUUGCAGGGCUAGCCAUAAAAAAGCUUUCUUACAUUUAUGGCAUCUUAGCAGCAGUUCCCUGGAAUCAGUAGAAAGCUUCCCUGUUGGUGCCAAUGAGCUUUUGGCUCAGAUCCACAAAAAUCUGAUUCUCCCAUUUGAACUGGUAUGACUCCGUUAUGCAGUAGUUAAGUGCUUAUAGCACUGGAGCUGAAUACAUCAUAGGUACAUUACAAACGUGCCUACUGAAUCCAUACAAUAGGAUUAAUCUAUUUAUCUUUGAAUAAUUUACUAAAGCAAAACCUAAGGGGUUCCUUAAACCCCUGGGACCUGCAAAAACUGGGGCUGCUUGCAGCUAUCCCUCAGAAACUGGCCCUCAGACAGAGCAGAAGCCUCACAUGCUAUUUAUGAGCACCUAAUCCCACUCCCUCAAACCCUCGUGUGUUCUUCCCGAGGUUGUUACACCUCCAGAUACCGACAGAAAGCAAAUAACCUUUGGGGAGGCUGGAGAGGUCUCAUUUGGACUCUGAAAAAUGUGAUCACUUGGUUUGGCAGCAGCAACCUGCUCAGCAAUCGAUUUUGUUUUAUUUUGCCUGAGUAGUCAAGAUGGGACCAUAGGUGAGAAUAAUGAUUGCAAUCAACGAGCAGCAACAUUGCUAACUAUUAUUGCGCCCAGUGCAACGCCCACAUUAAUGCUUGCAGUAACUCUGCAUUACUCACACGAGUUAAGAAGAGGUUUACCACCCUACUACAGAUGGCAAGAGGAUAGAAUCAGGGAGGACUUGUAUCAUCUGCACAUGUCACAGAGGUCAGUGGCAAAAGUCAUAAAAAACAUCUAGCAAUGGAAUUGUCUUUCUCUUUUCUCAGACUACAGUUUUCCUAAUGAGAAAAUUUCCCUCUCAGAUCAGUGACAAUGUUGGUUUUCCAGAGUUAGGGGGCAAACUCCAACUUGCCUCUGCGCAUGCCAUAAAUCAUCCCGUAUCACUUUUAAGAAUUGAUCACUCUUAAGGGUCCACGAUCUCAACACUGGCUUGGGGGAAGAUACAGUUGAUAUGAGACAAAAGCACUCCUUGAAUACGUUUUAUAAUUUUUUGUAUUCAUUAAGAUGCUUCAGAAAGGCUCUUUGUUCAAUGUUUAUCUUUUCAUCUGCCCUGACCUGGGAGCUGCAAGCACUUUGAGAAGUUAAUUGAAUGCUUGCUUUGUUUCGUUUCAGCUUUCAGGUCUAAAGUUUUGCUUUCAGUAAUGGUCCUGAGAACACUUCUGUCCUGUCUGCAAUAGCUCUGAAACCUUCUCCAGGAGCAACUGGGAAUUCCUUAUUGAUCACCACUGUCUUAUUACAGGAAUUCACAACCGAGAUGAUGUUUCUUAUUCAAUGACAGCAGGAACUCCCAACCUAGAAAGAGGGUUAUUUCUCUAAUGUUUCUUUUGCCAGAAUAAUCAUUCGAUCACAGAUCAUAGAAUCGUAGCAUCACCAAGAUUGGAAAAGACCUCCAAGUUCACCCAAUCCAACUGUCCUUCUACCACCAAUAUUUCCCCACUAAACCAUGUCCUUCAGUACAACAUCUCCAUGGUUCUUGAGCACCUCCAUGGAUGAUGACUCCCCCACCUCCCUGGGCAGCUGUGCCACUGCAUCACCGCUCUCUCAGAGAAGAAAAUCUUCCUAAUAGGCAGCCUGAAACUCCCCUGGUGCAACUAAAGGCCACUACCCACACCUCCAGGGGAGACUGCGAGGGACAAUAUGCUCUGCACACAAUUCCUGUAUCAUGUGUUCUAGAUGACUGUUGGAUUUGUUUCCUUUAUACCACUCUCCUCACCUGUGUCUGCUGCCUGUGAACAGGGGCUGAGGUGUGAGCAAGGGUUUCAGAAAGCUGGAUUCAGACCAUGACCUGCACAAGUUUCUUAUGGCGUGUUCAUCAAAAAUGUCUGAAGUGACAUUGUUGUAAAUUGGCCAAAAUAAUGAGAUUCUUUUGUGCUAUUAGUAUAGUCCAUAAAGAUCUUGGAGCAGGGGCUGUUUCUAAUCAGAUUUAUAUAUCGUACUUUGUACAAUAGUGCCCAUUUCUGCUAGCAGAAGAAAUGAAUCAGUGGGGGCUUAUUAAUUAAAAAAACAAAACAAAACACAGAAUAGUUAUUAGUGUAGUUAUUUUGAGUAAAGUCAUAAGGUGAGUAACAUGGAAGGCUGAGACAUGAAGUGGUAGAAUAUAUGCAGAGGGGCAUGGCAAAGUAUCUGUGUUUCCCCUUUUCUGAUGGGAAUUCUUGAAGGAUCUGAUAAAUACUGAUUGCUCAGUAGUUCCAUCUUAACCUUUACUUGCAAUACAAUGUACUUAGCUAUCUCCAUACCAGUUUAUUAUUAGCACAGACCUCUGCUUCCCAAUAGCUGCUCCUGAAAGGUUUCUGUGCCAAAGGACAGAGUAGUAAAAGCAACAAAACCUUUAGUAAUCAGGUCACUGGACUCUCAAAGCAAGGAACAGAAAACUCAGGAAGGCAUAGAGUCUGGAUGGUUACAUCUUAAUUCCAAAGCAGAGAGGAAUCCCAAUGUAUUGCACAUGGUGAAAGAUGAAGCAGAGCUCUUUUAUGAGACUCACCUUGAUUUGCUGCUUAUAUUAAUGCAAGCAUUUAACAAUGUUAUAUCAGUGUUACAAUCAGGACAUGUGUUCAAAAAGUUCAGGAACAAACAAAAACAAAUACAUAAAAAUGAAGAUGCGCUCAUCUGUUGCUCCACCUUUUGUCCACCUCAUGGAGUUGGAUCCUUUUUGCAUUGCACGUUUGAAUUCUUUCCCACAAGCCCAUGGAUGACACACACUCAGUUUCACAAAUGGAUUUGGGGUCUUUGCAAAAGUUGCUGGGGUGUCAGCAGCGGAGCUGAGAGAAAUGCACUGCUUGCAGGAAGAUGUGGCACCACCUGAGGUCCAUACUCCUCACCAAUGCUGGAGCUGCAGAAAGCCUUUGCCCUGAGUGCUCUGUCUCCUUGGUUAUCACCUAAUGAUAUAAAGCUACGGUAUUUCUUGCAAAUGCUGUACUCAUUUCAGUCCAGAAAACAAUGAGGUGUUUUGUUGUUGAUUUUUAUUUUUAUUUUUAAUCCUUAAUUAAUCCAAAUCUAUACAUGUCCUAAUGGAAAGAAAGACUAAAAAUAAUGACCUAAACACUCUCGCCCUGCCCCAGGCUGUUUUUUUUUUAAUCUUGGUUGGUUUUUUUUUUUUUCAAGAGGGUUAAUUUUAGACUUGGCAUCUUUGCCCGGUGAACUUCCCACAUGUGGUUAAAGCUACAAGCCAGGUCCUGCCACCAGCCAUAUUUACCAGAAACAGCAGGAGAAAUUUCCAGCAGAACAGUAAAGGGGCUGCAGUUCCUGUUGUUCUGCCAGUAUAUUUCAUCUAAAAAUAUUAUUCAUCUUGCCAACCACUUUAAUGCAAUUGGGGAAUGGCAGAGCUGGGAAGUCAGAAGAAAAGCUCUUUGUUAAAAAAAAAAAAAAGCUCAGAAGUCCCUCUACUUUCUAUUGUCUAUUCUACUGUCUGUUCUAUUUUUUUUUAUCAUGUUCUUCUUUGCUGUUUACUUAUCAGACUUGUCCCAGCUGUGUUCAUUAUCAGUUAAGAGAAUACUAAUCACUUAAGAUAUCUGUGUUUUAUUUCUGAAUGCAACUUUUGACAACUCUGCGAGAAGAAAGAUGACGUAGAAAAUAAUACAACUGAAAGCUCAGCAGCCCUCCUUAGUUUUCUGUUGCUGAAGCUGAAGCUGGAAGAUGAUCAGAGGAAAGCGGAGACACUGAGGUCAAGUGUCCUUGAAGUCUGUUUGUGACUAAUACAUUAAUGAGCUUAGCUGGGGAAAAUCCAAAACCAACUUGUUCUGCACCUGAGCAUGAUCAUACUAGAGCAGCGAAUUGCAGCACACCAACCAGCCUGUUGCUAGCAGAGGGGGAAAAAGUUAAACAGCCCAAGAACGUGUUGCUUUUUAUAAUAAAUACAUAAUCAUUUUAAAAAAUUGA